rnacentral:rRNA from 1 species
GAUGAACGCUGGCGGCGUGCUUAACACAUGCAAGUCGAACGGGAAUUACUUUAUUGAAACUUCGGUCGAUUUAAUUUAAUUCUAGUGGCGGACGGGUGAGUAACGCGUGGGUAACCUGCCUUAUACAGGGGGAUAACAGUCAGAAAUGACUGCUAAUACCGCAUAAGCGCACGGAACCGCAUGGUUCUGUGUGAAAAACUCCGGUGGUAUAAGAUGGACCCGCGUUGGAUUAGCUUGUUGGUGGGUAACGGCUCACCAAGGCGGCGAUCAGUAGCCGACCUGAGAGGGUGAUCGGCCACAUUGGAACUGAGACACGGUCCAAACUCCUACGGGAGGCAGCAGUGGGGAAUAUUGCACAAUGGGCAAAGCCUGAUGCAGCAACGCCGCGUGAACGAUG